rnacentral:rRNA from 1 species
AUUGAACGCUGGCGGCAUGCUUUACACAUGCAAGUCGAACGGCAGCGCGGGCUUCGGCCUGGCGGCGAGUGGCGAACGGGUGAGUAAUGCAUCGGAACGUGCCCAGUAGUGGGGGAUAGCCCGGCGAAAGCCGGAUUAAUACCGCAUACGACCUGUGGGUGAAAGCGGGGGACCGAAAGGCCUCGCGCUAUUGGAGCGGCCGAUGUCGGAUUAGCUAGUUGGUGGGGUAAAGGCUUACCAAGGCGACGAUCCGUAGCUGGUCUGAGAGGACGACCAGCCACACUGGGACUGAGACACGGCCCAGACUCCUACGGGAGGCAGCAGUGGGGAAUGUUGGACAAUGGGGGCAACCCUGAUCCAGCCAUGCCGCGUGCGGGAAGAAGGCCUUCGGGUUGUAAACCGCUUUUGUUCGGGAAGAAAUCCUCUGGGCUAAUACCCCGGGGGGAUGACGGUACCGGAAGAAUAAGCACCGGCUAACUACGUG